rnacentral:rRNA from 1 species
GUGUCAGCCGCCGCGGUAAUACGUAGGGUGCGAGCGUUAAUCGGAAUUACUGGGCGUAAAGCGUGCGCAGGCGGUCCGUUAUGUCGGAUGUGAAAGCCCCGGGCUCAACCUGGGAACGGCAUUCGAAACUGGCGGGCUGGAGUGUGGCAGAGGGGGGUGGAACUCCUGGUGUAGCAGUGAAAUGCGUAGAGAUCAGGAAGAACACCGAUGGCGAAGGCAGCCCCCUGGGCUAACACUGACGCUCAGGCACGAAAGCGUGGGGAGCAAACAGGAUUAGAAACCCGGGUAGUCC